AUUACUCUAAAAAAAAUUAUUGCUAAAUUAUGAUAUUUUGAUUCUUUGUCAUUGCUGUUUUAGAGCUAACUACUGCUCUCACAAAGAUGAAAAAAACGUCUUUCAACUCUUAUCCAAGUUGGCCGCAAUAAAAUAACCAAUAAUGGCAUGGUGAGUUUGGCCCAUGUAUGGUGGUGGUGGCUAGGUGGUUUUCCCCAACCCAAAAGCAAGCCACCACCAAGCACUACCUCUACUUAGAAGCACUAUAAAGUUUCUUACAAAAUGACAAAUUUGAAGCGGUUUAAAAUUUAUCUGUUGCCUAUAUCUCUAUCUCUAUCUCUAUGUUUGCUGAUGGUCUAUCCAAGUGUCCCUAGAGAUGCACCACAAGCCAUAACCGCAGGAGUAGCCAACCACAAUUUGCCCUGUAAAUAAUUUUUUAUUGCAAUUUGUCCAGGUGGUGAUUGAUAUCUGUGUCUACUCAUGCAUGGUUGCUUAAGUUGUUUGAAAACAAACAACACAGCGCUCAACACCUGCAACCACCGAUUGACCAACCAAUUGGAGGCCACCAUCUUGAAGGUCUCUGUUUCGGUGAUGACUUUGAAAACAUCGACCGUUAAAAUACCAAGAUGAACGGAGGUUUGAUCUGCCUCAAUUUUUGCAAACGGUGGUCUUUCUUUGGGGGUGUUCCAUCUACCUGUGCAAGAGCUCCUCCUAUAUUCGACAGUCAAUGCAACCAAUCAGUUCACACAGUAAUAUAUACCCAAUCGAGAUUGCUGGACAGUCUUUUAUGUAGACAGUUGCUUCCAUGUUUGUCUUUCGAGAUGUGCUGCCAUAUGGUCUCUAUGUCCUUUCACUUUGAUUGAAUUUAUAUGUAAAUGAUGCACACCACCUGUUUGCUAAUAUGCACCAGAAAAUUUGUUGAUGUCUUAACCAUUAAUAAAGAGGCAUUAUUAUAACUACUAGCAACCAAAAGUAGUAGUAGAUGACCUUCACCCAACUAUUAAAAAACUUAUAAAUACAUGGUUGUUUGUCUUUGUAGCAGGUCAUACUGUGUGUGCAUCAUCCAAAAAUCAAAUUCUAUCUACAAAUACAUAACAAAUCCUCAAUUGAUAGAUGGGUGUAUGCAUCUACAAAUAGAGAACUAUUCCUCAAUUUAUACUAAGCCAACUGCUACUGCUUAUGUGCAAUUUUUAUUCUCUUUGUUUAUGUUUAUUUGCUCACUUAGUUGUUGAUUUUUUUUUAUUUUGUUAUUUUGAAUUUGUAAUUUGCUAAUAUGUUGAAUUUUUUAUUUUUUGGUGCUUUUCCUACAACUAUUUUGAGGCUAGAAGAAAUAGGACUCCUCCUUAUUGGGAUGCUGAGCUCCUCUUGUGUUUUCAGAGCAAUAACCUCCUGUAAUAGAAGAUGAUGCAACAUUGACAAAUCACAUAAGCCAAAGCUUUUUGUUUUCUGCAGUAGAGGCACACUUUGUAGAAGAUGGUCGCUUGUUGUGUUGCCUAUAAUUAACUAAGAAUUGCCUAACAAUAGAGGACAAAAUUACAACAAAUAAAAGGUCCCUCGCUGCAAUUUUGGUUUAAGUUGUGUUUUUAGGCCUAUAAAAUUGAGUUAAUUUUGUAACCAAUUAGUAAUUUUUUCCCAGUUUGGGUUUAGGCAAUUUCUUGUAGUAGUUGUUAGACUCAGUAAGUUGUUAAGUUUCGAGUAUGUAUUGUUGACUUACAAUUGUCUAAUUUUAUAUAAUUUCUUUUUUUA